GGCCUACCAUGGUGGUAACGGGUAACGGGGUGUUAGGGCACUACACCGGAGAGGGAGCCUGAGAAACGGCUACCACAUCCAAGGAUGGCAGCAGGCGCGCAAAUUACCCAAUCCCGACACGGGGAGGUAGUGACAAUAAAUAACAAUACGGGGUUCUUUCGGAUCUCGUAAUUGGAAUGAGUACAAUUUAAAUCUCUUAACGAGGAACAAUUGGAGGGCAAGUCUGGUGCCAGCAGCCGCGGUAAUUCCAGCUCCAAUAGCGUAUAUUAAAGUUGUUGCAGUUAAAAAGCUCGUAGUUGAAUUUCGGGGUCAGUAGGUUGGUCGUGCCACAGGUAUGAACUGGUCUCACUGAUUCCUCCUUCCUGAUGAACCGUAAUGCCAUUAAUUUGGUGGUGGGGGGAGGCGGGACUGUUACUUUGAAAAAAUUAGAGUGUUUAAAGCAGGCUAACGCUUGAAUACAUUAGCAUGGAAUAAUGAAAUAGGACGUUCGGUCUCAUUUUGUUGGUUUCUAAGAUUGACGUAAUGAUUAAUAGGGAUAGUUGGGGGCAUUAGUAUUCAAUUGUCAGAGGUGAAAUUCUUGGAUUUAUUGAAGACUAACUACUGCGAAAGCAUUUGCCAAGGAUGUUUUCAUUAAUCAAGAACGAAAGUUAGGGGAUCGAAGACGAUCAGAUACCGUCGUAGUCUUAACCAUAAACUAUGCCGACUAGGGAUCGGAUGAUGUUAAUUUUUUAAUGACUCAUUCGGCGCCUUACG
rnacentral:rRNA from 1 species